CUUCAUUCUUCACAAAUGAAGUGACAGUUCCUUCAUGAUUAAGCAAGUUCACCUUAAAUGUGUUAAAGAGUUAAAUGAAGGUCCUGGCUCUGUCUUAGAGGAGUAGAAUCAUAUUCAGCAGAUCCUGCAUAUUCCUGGAAGGGGCUUUCUGACCACAUGAUCUUCAGGGUGACACAUGGACAAGAAACAGAUCUUCUUCUUGUAAAUAUUACUGCCUUGUAGCACAACUUGGAACUGUUAUUUUAUUUUGCUAAUAAGUUUAUAUUCCGCCUUACCAAAUGACGAGGCAUUACAGUGGAGAAGAAAGCCACGUCUUACCAUAUAGUUACAUGUAUAAUUAGCUCACAUGCAAAUUAAUUGAACAAUUACGUUGUAUAUGCAACUACAAAUGCAUUUAGUACGUAUUUUGGUUAUUGUUUUCCUUUCUAGUGUGCCUUCAGUAAAGAUUGUCAAUAUGCCUUAAGCCACAAGCCAUGUGAGGUCAGAGAAAAGUAUGUUUUACACAGUCCCAAAUGCAUUCUACUGCCCAAUCUGUUACCCUUUCACUUCCCAAAACACUUCCCCAGCCUAAUGCAAAAGGAUUGCCUGACUCGUCAUUCUCAGGGAUUUGGGCAGAGAGCCACUAAGAAGACAAUCAUCCCAGGCAGCAAAUAUCCAUUAAAAAAAAACUUCCUCCAAAUCAGAUGCUGCUGACAAACUCAUAGAAAAGAUAUUGGCAAAGAAAAAAAAUUCAAAAGACAAUAUAUUUCACUUGGUGCCUAGCACAUUAUAAGUACUCAUGGAAAGGAAAUAAUCUCUGUGUUUAAAUGAGAGAAGACGAACCUGAACUGUCCACAUUUAACGUGUGAUAUACGCAGACAAGGAAAGUCCCGUCACGAGGGAACACACACUGUUACCGAAAUAGUUCUCCAAAGAUGGAGGGAUCCAGAGAGGUCUUGUGAAAUUUUCCAAUAUAAAAUCUCAAACCAAAAUCAAUUAAAUCAUUUAAAAAUUUAAAUACGAAAUAGGGAGGAGGAAGAAUUGAACAAUCUAAUAAUAAUAUCCUAUCACUGGGAAAGAUUAGAAUAACCGUCAAAAAAUAUUUUACUGCGUAUUGGAAGCAAAGAUGCUAGGCAUUUCCUAUAUUUGUUCAUUAUCAUCCCAUUGCAAAGAAGUUAGCCAUCUUUUAGCAUAUUUGCAAGAUUAGUCUAAUCAAUGAUUAUUAACAUAUGUUUUAAUGUUCAAAACCUAAGAACUGAGGCUACGCCAAAGAAAUCAGGGUGUAGACAAAGAAAUGCAAGGAAUUCAGCCUCACCUUUUAAAAUUUUCACGAGAAACUAUUUCAUGAAGAAAACAUUUGUAUUACUAUAGCAAGUUUAUUUUAACAGGAGUGUGUGGGUAGUAAACGAAGCCACGGAAGGUAGCUGAGCACAGGCUAUGGAGAGAAACAACAUAAAUGCAAAAGGAGUUGUCUGCAAAUCUGGCUGCUCCGUUUUCUAUUAGAUUUUCUUGGGCUCCCGUUGAGUGAGUGAUUGAGUGUGGAACCAAAGAAAAGACAAGAGUUAACCAGCUUCUGAAUCCUCUUCUUUCUCCACCUAGUCUCAAAAUACAACCUUCCACCCCUCGCCCAAAAAAAAGAUCUCUUUAGUUUAAAGUAGUCCCUUAGCAGCAGAGAUAAUGGUGUUGCCAAUGUCUUUUUCUUAGAUUGCUUAUUUAUUUGCACAGGUGUCAGCUAGUCUAUUAUUUCUCACAUGACAACUUCGCUCCAUGUUUAUUUCUCUGGUUUUACACCAGUAGUGUGGUAUUAUCUCUCUAAAUAAAGGAAAUGUGCCAAAGUAUAAUUUUAUAGUGAUCUCUAACUUCCUUCUUUUCCCCCUAACAUGUCAGGUG
rnacentral:lncRNA from 1 species